CUAAUAUUCACUCCCAAUUUUAACUCUUGCGGCACUGAAUAACUGGAGUCAAAUACUUCCAUCUGUAACAGUUCACACUAGUUCUGUAUGCUGAAAGUACUAACAGUUCUCAUAGUUACCUAAAAAUGUGGAUGACCCCCUCUUGUCAUCACAUCUUCCCCACAGAGAUUUGUGAUUGUUUAAGAGUACACACAUUUUCUUAACUAUUUUUCAUCUAUGAUAUAAAUCCAGAUACAUUUUUUUUCUAUAAGUUACCUGUAGGCACUCUCUUGUAACAAUUUUUGUUCAUUUAUUUGCAUUACAGAAUAGUCAAGAAUGUGCACAGCCCUGAUCAGACUGGAAAGCUGCACUGGCCUGUGCUGAUGGGACAACUGUAUCUAUCUUACAAUCUGCAUUGUGACAAUCUGCAGCAUCUUCAAAACUAAGCAAGAGCUGAGGCAGCUAGAGAGGAUUUGGAAGAAUGAGUUGGAAGACUUAUUUACCUUGGUACAUUUUUGGCAGCCACCAAGCUACUACAUACAAUUAGUUCUCUCGUGUUAUUUACUUUAAAGUAA
rnacentral:lncRNA from 1 species